UCGGGAAUUUUGGGCAAUGGGCGAAAGCCUGACCCAGCAACGCCGCGUGAAGGAUGAAGUAUUUCGGUAUGUAAACUUCGAAAGAAUAGGAAGAAUAAAUGACGGUACUAUUUAUAAGGUCCGGCUAACUACGUGCCAGCAGCCGCGGUAAUACGUAGGGACCAAGCGUUGUUCGGAUUUACUGGGCGUAAAGGGCGCGUAGGCGGCAAUUCAAGUCAUCUGUGAAAUCUCCGGGCUUAACUCGGAACGGUCAGAUGAUACUGCUUUGCUAGAGUGCAGAAGGGGCAAUCGGAAUUCUUGGUGUAGCGGUGAAAUGCGUAGAUAUCAAGAGGAACACCUGAGGUGAAGACGGGUUGCUGGGCUGACACUGACGCUGAGGCGCGAAAGCCAGGGGAGCAAACGGGGAUUAGAUACCCGGGUAGUCCCUGAGCGGGCUGGCAAGGCGCAU
rnacentral:rRNA from 1 species